GCCACUUAAAAGACUCUCCAUCGUUCUCUGAAAUAUGGCCGGAGCGGAGGCCACACCGAACGGUAGUCUGCUGUAGGUGAACAAACUUCUGUGCGUGUUUACUGUGAGGUAUUUCUUGGAGUCGUCAUCCAUGAGUAUUUGUUGAUAAGCGUGACUCAUAUCUAACUUCGAAAAUUGCUUACCCUUUGCAAGUGCAUUGAACAAAUCCUCUACUCUGGGUAUUGGACACUGCUCAACUGAUGACACUGUGUUUACAGUUAGUUUGUAAUCACCACAUAAUCUGACUGUGCCCACUGGUUUCAGGAUGGGUACUACUGGUGCUGCCCAUUCUGAAUACUUCACCGGUGUGAUGAUGUCCUCUUUCAGCAAUCUGUCAAUUUCCUCAUCCACUCUUGCUCUCAUGGCAUAAGGAAUCGACCUUGGACGGAAGAAGCGUGGAACAGCAUUUUCUUUCACAUGAAUAGUGGCUUUGGUGCCCUUUAAUGUGCCCAGCUCCUCCUUCAAAACUUCCUCAUGUAUGCACAGCACUUCCUGUAAUUUCUCAUUUGCCUCCUUCUCUGAGUACAUAUGGUGCACUUGACGAGCUUUGUAUCUGGCUUUUAUUUCUUUCCAAUCAAGUUGAAUGUCUUCCAUCCAACCUCGGCCCAGCAAGGAAGGACCCUCUCCUUUCACGACCACGAGGGGCAGUUUGGCUCUUUGCUUUUUGUACUUCACAUGGACAUGAGCUGCUCCAACAACUUUCACUGGAUCUCCUGUAUAGGUCUCCAACUUAAUCCCGACUUGUUUAAUGUGGGGAGUUUUCGUGUUUUUCCACAUUGUUUGAAAUGUCUUUUCAUUCAUUACGGUGAGACUGCAGCCUGUGUCAAUCUCAAAAUUAACUCUCUUCCCAUUCACUUUCAUGCUUUCCGUGUAUGGAUCCACUUUUCUUAGGUGUAUUUCACUCAUACGCCCUAGCUUAAACUUCAUACUUUGUAAUGCAAAAGUAUUUUCCUCUGAACUCUCAGAGUGGCUUUCUUCUGUUUGUUCUUUAACUUUAUGUGAACGAUAGCUUGAAUGAGACUUCUCAUUUUUCACAGUUCCUGAUUUUGCAUUUCCUUUGUUUGCCUUUAUUCUGACAAGCUCUAGCAAUAUGGCCAACUUUACCACAUGCAUGACAUUUUUCUUGUUUAAAUUUACAUUCUGCAGCAUUAUGUUGUCCUUUGCAACGAUAACACUCUUGAACACUGCUGCUCUUGAACGCGCUCCUCUGAUGCGUACCUUUGUGCAGCUUGAAGCACUUGGCUGUUGCACUUGGAUUCUGGAGGUCAUGUGCAUUUUUAUUUGCCGUUUCUGCCGCGACUGCAAUGGACAAGGCUUUUUCACACGUUAGAUCUGUCUCUACCAGAAGUCGUCUUUAAAUCCGGUCAUCAUUUAUUCCACAUACGAUCCUAUCUCUCAACUUCUGCUCCAGCGUGUUGCCAUAAUUACAGUCCUGUGCCAGCCUGCGCAGCUCUGCUACGUAUUCCAUCACUGAUUCAUUUGGCUUACGACUGCAAGAAUCAAACUUGUACCUCUGGACAAUUUCACUUGGUUUGGGGUCGAAGUGGUUUUUCAGCAACGUCACAAGUUGUUGGUAAGUCUUCUCUUUUGGUUUACUUGGGCUGAGGAGGUUCUGUAUUAAACUGUAUGUAGAUGCGCCGACCACACUGAGGAGUAUAGCUCUCUGCUUAUCCCCGUCAACAAUCUCAUUGGCCUCAAAAAACUGUUCCAUUAUUUCACAGUAUUCUUCCCAGCUUUGACUUUUAGCAUCAAACGCCGCUAGAGUGCCGAUGGUCGCCAUCUUCUCUUAAAUUUAUGGUAACUCUCCCCCCUUUUUGAAACUUUUCUCCAGCAAACCACGUCCUUACUGUGAAUCUUGUUUGUCCUCGUCGCCAAAAGAUGUUGCAUCGUGGCCAAAAUAACUUUGCACAACAUCUCAAGUUUAGUUCAGUUGUUUUUAUUGAAGCUCGUGCACAACCACCAAGCACAUAUCUUUUAGGUACCGCUUCUUCUGUGGUUCUCUCACAACAGUAACAUUCAGUAGGUAACAUUACGCUCGUGCGCCCUCUACUGGAGAAACCGUAUAACAACAAUGUAACAUUGUAAUAAUUACUGUCCACAGUAUACUUGUACAUUUAACUUGGAACAAGCCUUGGUAUAACAUUUAAAACAAUAAUAUUAAAUCUCAGUAUACCACACAUCAUAUGUGUCACGUUUGCGACCAGGCAGACGCUGCAAACACACUGACAAAUGGAAAACUAAUGGUGCUUGAAACCAUUUCUGAUGGGGAGAAGCUGUGUGAGGAGAUUCUCCGUCAACCACACCUUUGUAAUUCAUCAUUAAAAGAGCUGCAGUUGAAACAGUCACAUUCAGACUGUGGAGGCGGUUUUAUUUACCCAGACACUGGGGGAAGUUCUAAAUUCUCCAGAGAUCUCGUGGUAUGUCCACCCACUGUGCUCAUAUUCUAGUGGAAAGUAAUUGUUGCUAAAGUUAUCAAUUAACACAGUGCAAGAAAUACAGUAUUUACCUCUGGUAUGUAGUGGAUUAAAACAGGCAUACUUAGAAAGAAAAGCUUCUCAAAUAUGUACAUGAGUAAAUGUACUACAUUUUCUUGGGAGCGUCAGUAGAAAGCAACUGGACUACUCUUCUAGGUUUUUGAAGACGUUUCACCUUCAUCCCAGAAGCUCCUUCAGUUCUAAUUGACUGAUGGGGGUUUUAGAUAUUUAUAGUCAUUUCAGUUCACAUGGCUAAUGGCCCAUUAAUAACAUUAAGAACCUAAAGGAGAAGUCCAUUUGCUCUCUACUGAAGCUCAGCUGAGAAUCUACACAGACAUCUGUACUCCGUUUUCUGUCAUCUCUAAAAAAAAAUGUGUGGGUGCUUUCAGAUUCUGGUAUCUGACAAGAGGUCAUGCUUCACUUCACUGCUUCUUCACAUCUGUUUACCUUUUCUGGAGUCACAGAGAGCGAAUGGAGACGUAACAAGAUUAGUCGACCCUGAAGAGGUCUCUUUGCCUGUAAUAUUAUUAUAGAGAAGAACAAGAUGAUAUAAAAUUACAUUUUCAAGUGUGGGGAUUUUUACUUUUAUCUGCAAAAGGAUGCAACAUAUGGUAUUUUAAUAAAAGCAAUGGAAUAUCUCCACCACCUGCAAAGCUGAGAAUAUUGAAAUAAUACAUGUUAUUCCUUACAGUUAUGGACUGUCUUUGCUAGAGGCUACAACUUACAUACACUUUAUUUAAUUAUCAGAGAUAAAAAAAAAAAGGACACACGUUUGCUCCUCUGGUUCGUGUUUUGACAAGACAUCUACCUGUUAUCUGCAGAUUUGACAACGUUAGCUACAAAGACACACUGCAAGAACCAGAUCAGCCUGAAGUAGAAGGAGGAUCCUCGUAUUGCUGUGGGGUUUUCUUUCAUAACGCUAGCCAAGAAUGCAAAUUGAUGUCUUUGUUUUCAGUCUCUCUCACUUGUAGACAUGACCAGAGGAGCUAAACUGGACCCAGGAUUCACCUGGAGGCAGCAUAGACCUACGAACUGGAGCAGGUGGAAGCUGAAUUAGUGAGGAUGACUCCUGCUCCUGUCAUCUCUAAGCUCCUCACACAUCUUUACCUGCACAUGAGGAAAAUCACUCCUGUAGAAUGCAGUUCAUCAGAACCUCUGGGGAUCCUGUGGAUUCUGUGGAUCCUGUGGGUUGCAGGGUGGGUCCUACCUAGACCAGGCUGAUCCUGGACCAUCCCACAGAUGCUCCAUCAGAUGUGGAUGUGGGGAGUGUGGAACCCAGAUGUUCAGAGGCAGAUGAUGCCACAUCUGGUCCAGCUGAUGGAAGGUCUUGAAGUUCUCUGACUGGCCUGGACUGAAGAUGGUCGUCUCACUGGAUUUAAGGUUCAGAUGCUGUUAUUUGUUUAGUCCAGACUAAAUGACAAAAAUCCACAACUGUAAUUAGUUUUUUUCCCUGUUAAAAGGGUGUUUUCCUGCCACUGUCACCUUAGGGCUGCUCUGGGGUUCAGGCAUAUGGGUUCUGUAAAGCGUCUCGAGACAAUUUUACUGUAAUUGGUGCUGUAUAAAUAAAAUUAAAUUGAAAAAUUUGAAUUGAAUUAAUUUUAUUUCAGGACUCGGUUAUUAAAUGUCAAAACAAUCCAUGUGACUCUAAAAACUCAACAGCUUUACAAACUCUAAGAUUAAACUCUCCACAAGGAUCCAAAAUAAGUUGGACUUCUACAUGAGAGCUUUAAUUAUUCUUCUACUUCCUGAAAAGUUUGGUCAGUAAAAAAGAAAAAAACUAAUGUUUUCAGCUGAACUAAAGACAGACUUUGUGAUUUUUCUGCUCACAUGUUGUGUUGUUGUAAACUUCCUCUUUUUAAUAAAUAUCCUCCUAACCCCCUGGAAACCAGCGUUUGUCUGUUUUUGUGUUGCUCCUCUGCGACCCUAGACAGCCAGGUCCUAAUGUUUUUGAGCAACACACCAUACUAUGACGUUUUUACAAUGAUGGUUCUACUAUGGAACCAGUUUGACAUGUUCAGGCGUUCUUUGUGUGAAAACUCAGAGAUUUCAGGGAUCAGAAGAUGGUUUUCAACUUUCUUUGUUAACUUUCUGCU
ensembl:lncRNA